AGAGUUUGAUCCUGGCUCAGGAUGAACGCUAGCGGCGUGCCUAAUGCAUGCAAGUCGAACGGGAACCUUUGGACUCGUCUGAAGGUGAGAGUGGCGAACGGGUGAGUAACACGUAGGUGACCUACCCCAGAGAGGGGGACAACCAGUGGAAACGCUGGCUAAUACCCCGGAUGUCAAUCUGGUUAGAGUGGAUUGACUAAAGCUCCGGCGCUCUGGGAGGGGCCUGCGUCCCAUCAGCUAGUUGGUGAGGUAAUGGCUCACCAAGGCAAAGACGGGUAGGGGGCGUGAGAGCGUGACCCCCCACACUGGUACUGACACACGGACCAGAUACCUACGGGUAGCAGCAGCAAGGAAUAUUGCGCAAUGGGCGAAAGCCUGACGCAGCAACGCCGCGUGAAGGAUGAAGGCCUUCGGGUUGUAAACUUCUCUUCUGGGGAAGAGAAAGGACGGUACCCCAGGAAUAAGGCCCGGCUAACUACGUGCCAGCAGCCGCGGUAAAACGUAGGGGUCGAGCGUUAUCCGGAAUUACUGGGCGUAAAGCGCGUGUAGGCGGCAGCUUAAGUCGGACGUGAAAGCUCCUGGCUCAACUAGGAGAUGCCGUUCGAAACUAGGCAGCUCGAGGGUGGUAGAGGCAAGUGGAAUUCCCGGUGUAGUGGUGAAAUGCGUAGAUAUCGGGAGGAACACCAGUGGCGAAGGCGGCUUGCUGGGCCAUUCCUGACGCUGAGACGCGAAAGCUAGGGGAGAGAACGGGAUUAGAAACCCCGGUAUUCCUAGCCGUAAACGAUGUCAACUAGGUGUAGGUGGUGAUUGACCCCAUCUGUGCUGCAGCUAACGCGUUAAGUUGACCGCCUGGGGACUACGGCCGCAAGGCUAAAACUCAAAGGAAUUGACGGGGACCCGCACAAGCAGCGGAGCGUGUGGUUUAAUUCGAGCUACGCGAAGAACCUUACCAGGGUUUGACAUAUACGUGGUAGGAAACUGAAAAGGGACCGACCCUUCGGGGAGCGUAUACAGGUGCUGCAUGGCUGUCGUCAGCUCGUGCCGUGAGGUGUUAGGUUAAGUCCUGUAACGAGCGCAACCCUCGUCGUUAGUUAUAAGUGUCUAACGAGACUGCCGGUGAUAAGCCGGAGGAAGGUGGGGAUGACGUCAAGUCCGCAUGGCCUUUAUAUCCUGGGCUACACACACGCUACAAUGGCCAGUACAAUGGGCAGCCAAGCCGCGAGGCGGAGCCAAUCCCACAAAGCUGGUCUCAGUUCGGAUUGUAGGCUGCAACUCGCCUGCAUGAAGUCGGAGUUGCUAGUAACCGCGCGUCAGCAACAGUGCGGUGAAUACGUUCCCGGGUCUUGUACACACCGCCCGUCACGUCAUGGAAGUUGGCAACGCCUGAAGUCAGUGGGCUAACCCUAACGGGAGGCAACUGCCUAAGGCGGGGUCGGUAACUGGGACGAAGUCGAAACAAGGUA
rnacentral:rRNA from 1 species